GACAGUUCCACACUUCCUUCUGAGGCCCCACUGCCAUUCAGAGGCAAGUGGCUGCCCCACUCAGCUGGGGCGUGAAAGACUUGAAGCACAUGGCUGAGUGGAAAGACUCUGAAGGGUCUGCUGCACCUUCCUGUUCUGCCCAUCCAGAUGCCUGAGUUUCCCUCCCAGCUCUCUGACUGAUGGGCUCUGUGAUUUCAGGCCCCUUUCCCUAUCUAUAAAAGAUUUGACAGCUAUGCUAUUUUUAAGAUGUCUUUCAAGUUUUAGGUAUUAUGAAUCCAUGGGUGUAAUUAUACUGAGGUUACAAAAGAAUUUUAAUAGAUCGUUUUCUCCGUGAAGACUAUAGUUCCCACAAGGUAGAGGAUACAGAACUUAUUAUUCCUAUUUUACAGAUGGAGGAAGAACACUUUGGUGGGGAGGGGAAAGAAUCAGGCCAGGCUUCUCUCUCUCCGGAUGCUUAUUUUGCCUUCGGUGAAAUUUGAAAGGCUACCCACUCCAGUAUUCUGGCCUGGAGAAUUUCAUGGACUAUACAGUCCAUGGGGUCGCAGAGAGUCUCAGAUACAACUGAGCGACUUUCACUUUCACUUUCUCUCUCUCCCAAUGCUUGUUUUGCCCCCAGUGAAAUUUGAACAAUAAACAGGUGUGGAGCAGCAGGACUACCGCAGAUGAGGUAAAGGUUCACAUGCAUAGGAAGUUAUUUACUCUGGCCUCACCCUGAUCCCAACAGUUGCCAGGCAGAAACAAAUCCAAAACAACAAAAGUUCUGGUGAGUUCAGUGCUAGUCUGGGAAGUACCUGCUGCUUCUGGGAAAGUGAAAGUUUCAGUUUUCUAAAAAAGAGCAAAUGUAAGACCUUCCAGGAACCAGUGACUGUACAGCUUUGGAAUGUCAGUGAUUUGUGGGUCUAAGGAAUAUUGAGAUGGAAAACAGUAGAGGAAGGAGAUUUAUUCACUUACCCAAAACAGUUAUUUAUUAUUCAGUGUGAAUGGAGCCCUCUGCCAGACAGUAGACAUAAAGCUUAAUAAGACAGAUGGCCUCCCCUGCAGGGGCUCACGGUCUAGUUUCAGGACAGAGACUGAUGGUGGGGGUGGAGAAUUUAAUAGGGACAGUGAGAGAGGUGAGCCCCUGGAGCAGAGCAGCAGGAGCGCGUGGAAAGGAGCACUGAGACGAUAAGAGAAGGAUUCCUGAGAGAUUUAAACCCUGGGGUGAAUCUUAAAGAACUAGGGCCUAACGGGGAGAGCCCUUUAGGGAAUGGCAGGGCGCGCCAUAUACAGAGGCACAAAGGUAUCAGGAGGGCAGGAAGUUUGUCAUGGAUGGAACAUCCUUUCCAAAAGGAAAAGCAGAGAGAAAUGGGCCAAAUAAGCUGUGUUUCUGGGGAAGAAAUAUCAACGCAGAAAAGAGAAGGGACACAGGAAAGAGUGAUACUGCUUUUACUUGUCCCCUAGAAAGAAAAAUGACUUCAUUAACAAUGUCUGGAAGAGAUGAACCAAUGGUAGGGGAACAUCUUUGGACAUGAGUUCAUUCCCUGGUGGCUCAGAUGGCAAAAAAUCUGCCUGUGAUGCAGGAGACCCAGGUUCAAUCCCUGGAUCAGGAAAAACCCCUGGAGAAGGGAAUGGCCACCCACUCCAGUAUUCUUGCCUGGAGAAUCCCAUGGACAGAUGAGCCUGGUGGGCUACAGU